UCCCCGAUAGCUCAAUGGUAGAGCACUCGACUGUUAAUCGAGUUGUUGUAAGUUCGAGUCUUACUCGGGGAGCCA
rnacentral:tRNA from 11 species